AUUGAACGCUGGCGGCAUGCCUAACACAUGCAAGUCGAACGGUAACAGGCCUUCGGGCGCUGACGAGUGGCGGACGGGUGAGUAAUACGUAGGAAUCUGCCUUUUAGUGGGGGAUAACUCGGAGAAAUCCGGGCUAAUACCGCAUACGCACUACGGUGGAAAGCAGGGGAUCGCAAGACCUUGCGCUAAUAGAUGAGCCUACGUCGGAUUAGCUUGUUGGUAGGGUAAUGGCCUACCAAGGCGACGAUCGGUAGCUGGUCUGAGAGGACGGACAGCCACACGGGGACUGAGAUACGGCCCCGACUCCUACGGGAGGCAGCAGCUAGGAAUCUUGGGAAUGGGCGAAAGCCUGACCCAGCAACGCCGCGUGGGCGAUGAAGGCCUU
rnacentral:rRNA from 1 species